UACAGAGGUCCCGAGCGUUGUUCGGAUUCACUGGGCGUAAAGGGUGCGUAGGCGGCUCUGAAAGUCUGAUGUGAAAUCUCCAGGCCCAACCUGGAAAUGGCAUUAGAAACUACAGGGCUAGAGGCUUGGAGGGGGAACUGGAAUUCUCGGUGUAGCAGUGAAAUGCGUAGAGAUCGAGAGGAACACCAGUGGCGAAGGCGAGUUCCUGGACAAGUCCUGACGCUGAGGCACGAAAGCCAGGGGAGCAAACAGG
rnacentral:rRNA from 1 species